CCAAUUGCAAAUUGUCUUAGAAUAUUACUCUCUACAUCAUAUUAAAAGUUAACUCAAAGGUGAACAACCCCUUUAUGCUUUCCCAGCGGGGUAACUAUCAGGGGGUGCAACUGCAUUGGGGCAGAACUGAACCUGAAUCCUUAAAAUCAUGUGACUUUUUCUCACGUAAACACGGAAACUGAAAAUGUUCCACUGCGCACAUAUAUACGGGCCCUGCGGGUUAUUAUUAGGGUGAUUAUUCUGAGACCCUGCUUAUAGGUUACUGGGUUGAUCCAAUUGUAGGAUUAGGGGUGCUCACCCCUAUAUAUUCCUAUAUAUUUAUCUUCCCUAUUGAUAAUAUCAGGACCAAGCAUCAUUUCUACCGGCCAGGUGGCGACUCUACGUAGGGUUAAUUUAUACCAAUUGAAUAUAUAUUUAUUGUAAUGACUUAUUAUUGCACUAGAGGGCGCUCUCUCCUUAUAUUGUCAUAUAAUAUGUCAAACCGUUGGAAGAGAACUGGGGUUUAUAAUUAUAUUUUAUCACUAUCCCCAAUGACAUGAGGGCAAUAGAAAGCUGAAAUGUGCGGUAUCGAGGCAAAUGCCUUACAGUGUAUGUGCAGCUUAGGAGCAAUGAGAAGUGUGGGAGAUAGGAGAGGGAUUUGUAUGGAUGAGUGUUGAUAGGGUCUGAGUUUAAAGAUAGGAAGGAAUAUGUGUGAGGUGUAUGGGAGCAUCGUAAUGGGGGAAUGUGGGGGGAAUCUGGGGAUAUAAGGAUAUAAGGUUGGGGCUGAGAUGUAUGGAGACCUGGGACAUAGGGAGAGGUUGGGGCUGAGAUGUAUGGAGACCAGAGACAUAGGGAGAGGUUGGGGCUGAGAUGUAUGGAGACCAGGGACAUAGGGAGAGGUUGGGGCUGAGAUGUAUGGAGACCUGGGACAUAGGGAGAGGUUAGGGCUGAGAUGUAUGGAGACCAGAGACAUAGGGAGAGGUUGGGGCUGAGAUGUAUGGAGACCAGGGACAUAGGGAGAGGUUGGGGCUGAGAUGUAUGGAGACCUGGGACAUAGGGAGAGGUUGGGGCUGAGAUGUAUGGAGACCAGAGACAUAGGAGGAGGUUGGGGCUGAGAUGUAUGGAGACCUGGGACAUAGGGAGAGGUUGGGGCUGAGAUGUAUGGAGACCAGAGACAUAGGGAGAGGUUUGGGCUGAGAUGUAUGGAGACCUGGGACAUAGGGAGAGGUUGGGGCUGAGAUGUAUGGAGACCAGAGACAUAGGGAGAGGUUGGGGCUGAGAUGUAUGGAGACCAGAGACAUAGGGAGAGGUUGGGGCUGAGAUGUAUGGAGACCAGAGACAUAGAGAGAGGUUGGGGCUGAGAUGUAUGGAGACCAGAGACAUAGGGAGAGGUUGGGGCUGAGAUGUAUGGAGACCUGGGACAUAGGGAGAGGUUGGGGCUGAGAUGUAUGGAGACCUGGGACAUAGGGAGAGGUUGGGGCUGAGAUGUAUGGAGACCAGGGACAUAGGGAGAGGUUGGGGCUGAGAUGUAUGGAGACCAGGGACAUAGGGAGAGGUUGGGGCUGAGAUGUAUGGAGGAGUAGAUGUGUGAGUAGUAAGUUAAGUGGGGAGUAGGGAGCAGGAAAGUGAUAACAGGGAUGUGAAUAAAUAUUUGCUGAUAUUUUCCAAACAAAGAAAUGAAAGAAUGGAGUAAACAAAAUUUUUAGGUGCUGAAAAUCACAAUAUAAAGUAUUUGGCUUUAAUUAACUCCUGUGUUUCCUACUGCCGCCUUGAUUCAGCCUGCAGCCCUCCAGCUAAUGCAUUCUGGGAGUUGUGGGGCUUAUGCAGGGGGCAGGCGAUAGAGGGGGGGCAGUGGGAAUUACACCCAGGUGCCUUUAUACGUCAUUAUUGUCAGAACUUUACUGAGGCAAUAAAAUGUGUUUAUUUAA